rfam:Bombyx mori DNA, contig: Bm_scaf5_contig4340, strain: p50T/Dazao, build 2, whole genome shotgun sequence.
ACAACAUUCGGACCGUCGGUCUACCGAGCAAUAUCACCCGCUCGGUGGAAGAUCUUCCCUUUGUCAU